AAGUGGGAGCUCUCUGCCAUCGUCCAAUUUUUUAGACCACUACUCCAGUCCAAUUGUAGUAGCUUGAGGCUCUAGAAUUGGCCCUCAAUAGUGUCCCACUUGCCUAUUUUGAAGGUACCAUAUUGUAAUACCGACUUCUGAAGAAGGGCAACCACCCUAUCUUUUCCAAUAUCUCUACCAAUUCCAGAUGAAAACAGUAAAUGAAUGUUAACUUCAACUUCUUGAGGGAGUGUGGGAAACUAAUCCUCUGCAAAUACUCAUCGUAUUCAAAAUAGAUGUGGCAAUACAAGUUUUCCAAUUUACUCAGACACUGAAGAUAGCUCAAACAUUUUGCUCUCUGUUUCAAUUUACUCAAACUACUCUUGAUGAGACAACCCUCCAUAUCUUCCAAUUGGUAAAUUAGAUGCAAUUUCUUGACAUUGGGAAUUCUUUGAACCACCUCCUCAUUCAAAUACAAAUUCUUUGCUCCUCUGAGUGUUUGUAGAUUCUCCAUGAUAACCAUCUUGCACUCGGAGGAUCUGGGAGAAUCAAUCCUGCAUCUACAAACUCGAGAUCAGGCCAACGACAAUCUCCACAUCUAUUCAUAUCCCAAGACGUAUCGAGUGACUGAUAAACUAUUAACGUAUAUAGAUUCCAAAUCAAAUUGAUCGAAGAUGGGAAUUUGGACUUCCAAUGAAGUCUAACAGCAAUGUGCCGUGAGUUCACCAAUUGAAAAACAUCGCCUAGGAAAUGAAUACCACCUUCGAUAGUCUUAUCUCGUCGAUGUGUAUCUCUGUCAUAUUCUUUGAAUGUUCUCAACAAUCUAAAAUUCUGAGGCCUUUCAAAGUUUAUCCCCUCGUCAUCACAUAUUAUAGAAUGAGCAUGUGACAAAGAUCUCGAGACUUCCAGCAUACUCCCAACAUUUUUAAAAACAACCCGACGUUCGUUAUCUAUGACUGAAGGAGACUUUUCUAUGACCACUCUCCAAAAUUCUGAUGCAAGUGAAGUUGUGAAUGGAGCAGUUGAAAAAUGUAGCCAGGCAUGUUCUGCUUUUUGCACCAAGGCUUCUAUUAUUGCAGCUUAAUUAAACAAGCAUGCAUGCAUGUAUAUCCACAUAGAUACCAUGUAAAGAUGAUCGAAGGGCUAUACAUCGCUUUUCUGGCUUUCAAUAAUUCUCAUGUAGUCUGUUGUGUAAAGUUUCUUUGUGUUUGUUUGUGUA